AACGAACGCUGGCGGCAGGCUUAACACAUGCAAGUCGAACGCAUCGCAAGAUGAGUGGCAGACGGGUGAGUAACGCGUGGGAACAUACCCUUUUCUACGGAAUAGCUCUGGGAAACUGGAAUUAAUACAGUAUACGCCCUACGGGGGAAAGAUUUAUCGGGGAAGGAUUGGCCCGCGUUGGAUUAGCUAGUUGGUGGGGUAAAGGCCUACCAAGGCGACGAUCCAUAGCUGGUCUGAGAGGAUGAUCAGCCACAUUGGGACUGAGACACGGCCCAGACUCCUACGGGAGGCGGCAGUGGGGAAUAUUGGACAAUGGGCGCAAGCCUGAUCCAGCCAUGCCGCGUGAGUGAUGAAGGCCUUAGGGUUGUAAAGCUCUUUCACCGAUGAAGAUAAUGACGGUAGUCGGAGAAGAAGCCCCGGCUAACUUCGUGCCAGCAGCCGCCGUAACAC
rnacentral:rRNA from 1 species